AAGAUCUUGCAAGAGUGACAACCAGACCACAAACCCCUUUUAUUUCACUUUCUCCGCCCCAGAGAGCACGAUUUAGCGUUUUUCUUCCUCCUCUUUCGCCUCUAGAGACAAGGAAGAAUAGAAGAGAGGUCCUCCAUGAGAUAUCAGUCAUGGUGGAAGGUGCUGUUGGCGCCAAUUUUCUCAAAAGGGAAGAACUUGGCGGGAAAUUCUCAGUAUUUGAAGAGACGGGGUCGAGGAACGACGUUCAGGAUGUGUUCAAACGUGUUAACCGAGUCGCCGAUGAAGCUGGUCACUGCAGACGAACCAGCGGCAGAUGGCCUAAGAGGUCGUGACCUUGUUAACCAUGCCAUGAGAAGCAUCUUUGCCACCUCUCCAGCGAAGUCACCCAAGAAGAGGGAAGCCGACAGCCAGUCGUCUGCACCCCAGGCUGGACUGUCACUGCUGCCCGCAUCUCUCCUCCUGCAGAAGAGCUUUGGUCUUAUUGCCUCUGAGGCUCCUUCAGAAAAGAGGAAAAGAUCCAGGCCCUUCACAGUGUCAAUUGAAGGGAAUAUAGGAAGUGGCAAGUCCACCUUCCUUCAGUACUUUUCAGCUCUACCAGGUGUAGCUACUUAUCAGGAACCUCUAAAUCUUUGGACUAAUCUCCAUGGCCACAAUCUACUAGGGAAGUUGUACGAAGACCCCAAACGCUGGAGUUUCCUUUUCCAGUCCUAUGUCCAGUUGACUCGAUUAAAUAUUCACCUUCAACAGUGCAACAGUCCUGUCAAGCUUAUAGAGAGAUCAUUGCAAAAUAACAGAUAUUGUUUUGUGGAAAGUGGCCAUGAUUCUGGAGAACUGCAUGGGGCAGAGUAUAGUGUGCUAUGCGAAUACUACGAUCUGCUUGAGUCAAAUCUUGAUAUUGGAAUAGACUUAAUAGUAUACUUAAGAUCAACACCAGAAACCGUACACAGCAGGAUGCUUGAGCGAGGUCGGUCGGAAGAAGCAGGUGUUCCAUUGGGGUAUCUCAAGCAGGUUCACAACUACUACGAGAAUUGGUUACUAGAGCAUAAACCUCGUGCACCCCCAGCCCCAGUACUUGUAAUUGAUGCCGACAAGGACUUGGAAAAGGUCAAGGAGGAGUACAGACAAAAAAAAGAAGUUAUUAUGGGAGAAAAACCUUUAUAAUGAAGGCUGUAAAUCAUGGUCUUUAUUUCAUGCGUGUGUGUCUUUAUGAUAUAUAGAUUGUGAAGUAUUUUCUUUGAACUUACCAUCCAUCUUGCUGGUGAAAACAGUGUAUGUUUAACUACAUAUUUAAUGUGUAAAACUAGGGUUGGUUUGGUAAUUAGGAAAUAAGGUUACCUGAACUACGGAUUUUGAUGAGGAUUUACUUCAAGCAAAGCUAUAUUAAGUAAAUGGUAAGGAGUCCUUGUUUUUACAUUUUAACAUUUAGUAGGAACAUUAAAGAAAAGAUCUCUUGACAAUUGGUAUGCUUUCACUUCGGUUGAAAGCAAAUAUAAUCUGCUUUAGUCAUAAAGGCAAAUUUUAAAAAGGACUUUGUUCUUAUUAAUCUGGUCAAAAGAGAUUCUUUAGUAAAUGUAUAUUAAGAUGUAUUUAUAAUGUACAAGAAGAAAUAUAUAGUUGUUUCAUUACUUUUAUACUAAGUAUAUUUAUAUAUAUAAAUCACUAAGGUACAUUCUAAGAAUGUAAGCAGUACAAAAAUAAAGCUACUGAAGUAUA
rnacentral:misc_RNA from 1 species